rnacentral:sRNA from 1 species
CUCACACGGAAUUUCGUUGCAUCUUGUUAUCAGUGUCUGAUAACAUAGAU